CAACGCCGCGUGGAGGAUGAAGGUCUUCGGAUCGUAAACUCCUGUCAGGGGGGACGAAAGCCGCGCAAGCGGUUUGACUGUACCCUCUGAGGAAGCCACGGCUAACUCCGUGCCAGCAGCCGCGGUAAUACGGAGGUGGCAAGCGUUGUUCGGAAUUACUGGGCGUAAAGGGCGCGUAGGCGGCUUGGCAAGUCAGAUGUGAAAGCCCCAGGCUUAACUUGGGAAUUGCAUCUGAAACUGCUUUGCUUGAGUCCUGGAGGGGGUAGUGGAAUUCCCAGUGUAGCGGUGAAAUGCGUAGAUAUUGGGAGGAACACCUGCGGCGAAGGCGGCUACCUGGACAGUGACUGACGCUGAGGCGCGAAAGCUAGGGGAGCAAACGGGAUUAGA
rnacentral:rRNA from 1 species